rnacentral:rRNA from 1 species
CCCUUAGAUGUCCUGGGCCGCACGCGCGUUACACUGAUGCAUUCAACGAGCUUAUAACCUUGGCCGAGAGGCCUGGGCAAUCUUGUUAACGUGCAUCGUGAUAGGGAUAGAUUAUUGAAAUUAUUAAUCUUGAACGAGGAAUUCCUAGUAAACGCAGAUCAUCAAUCUGCAUUGAUUACGUCCCUGCCCUUUGUACACACCGCCCGUCGCACCUACCGAUUGGAUGGUCCGGUGAAGCCUCGGGAUUGUGGUUCUUGUCGCUUUAUUGUAGCGUGACCGCGAGAACUUGUCUAAACCUUAUCAUCUAGAGGAAGGUGAAGUCGUAACA